UACGUAGGUGACAAGCGUUGUCCGGAUUUACUGGGCGUAAAGAGCGCGCAGGCGGUCGAUCAAGUCGAGUGUGAAAGCCCCCGGCUCAACUGGGGAGGGUCAUUCGAAACUGGUCGACUCGAAGGCAGGAGAGGGUAGUGGAAUUCCCGGUGUAGUGGUGAAAUGCGUAGAUAUCGGGAGGAACACCAGUGGCGAAGGCAGCCCCCUGGGUCAAGAUUGACGCUCAUGCACGAAAGCGUGGGGAGCAAACAGG
rnacentral:rRNA from 1 species